GAGCUCACGGCCGGCCGGGCGGGCUGCGCGUCAGGCCCGCUGCGCUGGGGGCCCUGCAGCCCCGAGAGCGGAGGUGCAGGCAGGUUAGGACCCUGGCUAGAGCUCAGGGCCGCCCGACCCGGACACCCUGCCCUUCUUCAGCGACCGAGAGAAGGGCCGCCCUCUCGGCUUCCUGAGGCGUGGGAAACUGGGUGAUGGUUAUAGAAAUGACAGAAGGCAGGUCUGUCUCUCAAGGUGGGACGUGUCAGGAGGCAGGCUGUCGCCGAUAGACAUGCCGCCUGCCUUUUUCCCUGCAGAGUGUGCCCUCGUGCCCAGUGAGUGCCCAGUUGGCCAGGUUCAAGACCAAGGAGAGGGAAACAUGGCAGCAAGGCGGAUGGUACAGGACUCUUUGGACACAGUAUUACAGGAGAAAUGUAAACGGUAUGGGGAUUCUGAGGCUGUCGGUGAAGCUCUCCAGCUCAAAGCUCAAGAUCUCUUAAGGACAGGCUCAAGAGCCAGAGCAGAUGUCUGUGAGGAUGUUCGUGGUGACAGCAGGUACUCUGACAGUGGACCUGGAGUGUACUCACUAAACUUGGGGAGAGAGGGCCUGAGAGCUGACAUGUUUGCGGGACCCUCCUUCAGAUCCAGCAAUCAGUCCAUCAGUGAGGACAGCUAUCUUCGCAAAGAAUGUGGCCGGGAUCUGGAAGCAACCCACACUGACUCCCGGGACCAGAGUUUUGGCCACCGGAAACUGGGACAUUUUCCUUCUCGGGACUGGAAGCUUAUGCUCCGUGGCUCUUGGGAGCAAGACUUGGGCCACUCAGUUUCUCAAGAAUCCUCCUGGUCACAAGAGUAUGGUUUUGGGUCUUCAGUGUUGGGGGACUUGGCCUCCUCUAGGCGAUUGGAGAAGGAGAGUCGAGAUUAUGACCUGGACCAUCAUGGGGAUGUGGACUCUGUGUCUAGAGGCAGUGCGCAAGUCCUGGCCAGAGGCUGGUCUCUAAACAUGGGUGACCAGGAAGGCACUCUCCUAGGAAAGGACACUCAGGGCCUGCUCACAGCAAAGGGUGUCGGGAAGCUUAUCACACUGAAAAGUAUGACCACAAAGAAAAUGCCUGUUGUUGGUCGUAUUACUUCCAAAACUCAGGGCACUAACCAAAUCCAAAAAGCCACUCCAAGUCCUGAUGUGACCCUCGGGACAAACCCAGGGCUGGAUGAGAUCCAGUUCGCUGCUCUGAAGACACCCUUGGGGCUGGACCUGAGGACCCUUGGCUUCCCCAGAAGGAAGCUGGGCUUGGAUGCCAUGGACAAAGCAGAUGUGUUUUCAAGGUUUGGCAUAGAGAUCAUCAAGUGGGCUGGGUUCCACACCGUCAAGGAUGACCUCAAGUUCUCCCAACUUUUCCAGACUCUUUUUGAACUGGAAACUGAGACCUGUGCCAAGAUGUUGGCCUCCUUCAAAUGCUCCUUAAAACCGGAGCACAGAGAUUUCUGCUUUUUUACUAUCAAGUUUUUAAAGCACUCUGCUCUGAAAACACCCCGAGUUGAUAAUGAGUUUUUAAACAUGCUUUUAGACAAAGGUGCUGUGAAGACCAAAAACUGUUUCUUUGAGAUCAUCAAGCCCUUUGACAAGUACAUCAUGCGGCUCCAAGACAGGCUGCUGAAGGGUGUCACACCCCUGCUCAUGGCCUGUAAUGCCUAUGAGCUGAGUGUCAAGAUGAAGACCCUCACUAGCCCUCUGGACCUGGCCGUGGCCCUGGAGACCACUAACUCCUUGUGUAGGAAGUCCCUGGCACUCUUAGGCCAGACCUUCUCCUUGGCCUCCUCCUUCAGGCAGGAGAAGAUCCUAGAGGCUGUGGGCCUCCAGGACAUCGCUCCAUCUCCUGCUUCCUUCCCAAACUUUGAGGACUCCACUUUGUUUGGAAGAGAAUACAUAGACCACCUGAAGGCCUGGCUCACGGCCAGCGGCUAUCCCCUCCAGGUCAGGAGGGCUGUGCCUGCAGAGCCCCGAGAGCAGAGAGCCACAUCUCAGCCCUGGGCUGCAAGCACUGCGAACCAAGCAGUCCCCCAGCGGGCAGAUCACAGGGUGGUGGACACCAUUGACCAGCUUGUCAUGCGUGUCAUCCAAGGCAGGCUGUCUCCCAGAGAGAGAACACUACUCCUGCAGGACCCUGCUUACUGGUUUCUGUCUGAUGAGAGCAGCCUGGAGUAUAAGUACUACAAGCUGAAGUUGGCAGAGUCACAGCGGCUGACCCACAGCUGGCCCAUCGUGGAACGGAGGCCAACGCCUGCACAGUGCGCUGUGCGUGCCAUGCUGUAUGCACAAGCUGUGCGCAGCCUCAAGCGCAGACUCCUCCCAUGGCAGCGCAGGCGACUGCUUCGCUCCCAGGGUCCUCGAGGCUUGAAGCCCAAGAAAGCUGCCACUGCCCAGCACACAUCCCUGUCCUCAGGCGCUCGGCAGAGGCACCAUGGCCGCCAGGCAGUAGGCUCCUUGCAGGUGAAGCCCCCACCACGGGACUCAAGUGAUGCUGCCCAGGACUGCCUACCAGAGCCUGCCAAACCCCGCCCUCAGCCCCCCAGCCCUGGAGCCUUGGGCCCGUCUCGGCCAAUAGGGGAUGACUUGGAAGCCCUGCAGGCCUCUUCUCCCUGCCCCUCUGCUGAUGAUCCAAAGACCAUGGAGACGGCUGAGAAGCUGGCCAGACUGGUGGCUCAGGUGGGCCCCGAGAUCGAGCAGUUCAGCAUAGAGAGCAGCACCGACGACCCUGACCUGUGGUUCCUGCAUGACCAGAGCAGCUCAGCUUUCAAGUUCUACCGAGAGAAGGUGCUGGAACUGUGCCCAUCCAUCUCCUUCCAGUCCUCUGGUGAGGCAGGGGACUCAGUGCAGAGCCCCACAGCCCGAAAGGAGGGUGACAGUGAACCAGAGGAGGGGCAUCCCCAGCAGGAGGCUACACUGGAGGGCCCUGAGGUGCUGCCUGAGGAGGAGGACGAGGAGGAGGACGAGGAGGACGAGGAGGAGGAGGGCAGAGAGGAGACCUGUACCCUCAGACCACAGGCAGGAGCUGCCAAAUGUCCAGGCUCCGAGGGCAGUUCCCCCACUGACAGCAUCCCUGGAGAGGGGUCCAGGGAGGACCAGGCCGGCACCCCUGGCCUGUCACAGGCCUCCUCCGGCAGCUGCUUCCCCAGGAAGAGAGUCAGCAGCAAGUCGCUGAAAGUUGGCAUGAUCCCUGCUCCCAAGAGGGUGUGUCUCAUCCAGGAGUCAAAGGUCCAUGAACCAGUUCGAAUCGCUUACGACAGGCCUCGGGGGCGUCCCAUAGCCAAAAAGAAGAAACCCAAGGACCUGGAGUUUGCCCAGCAGAAGCUGACAGACAAGAACCUAGGCUUCCAGAUGUUGCAGAAGAUGGGCUGGAAGGAAGGCCACGGCCUGGGCUCCCUCGGAAAGGGCAUCCGCGAGCCUGUCAGCGUGGGGACACUCUCAGAAGGAGAGGGCCUGGGGGCUGACGGGCCAGAGCAGAGAGAAGACACGUUUGACGUCUUCCGCCAGCGCAUGAUGCAGAUGUACAGACACAAGCGGGCCAGCAAAUAGAUCAGAGCCACUGGCGACAGAGAUAAGCCUUGAAGCAGCCUUGCCCUUCCCGUCACCCUGCCCCGGACGCCUGCAGCCUAAGCCUCGUUCCAGGGUCAUUUCCACAAGGGCCAUGGAUUCCAAAUGCUAUGCUGGCCUGGCCUGCUGUGGCUCUGGCGUGCUCCUGUUCCUGGAAGUACUUGGUGAAGGUUGGUUCUGGUCCCUGGUAAAACGCAGAACACUGGUGAUGUCACACCUGGACGUUGUGUUUGUGAGGAUCUGAGAUGUCAUGGUGUUGUCGUGUCAAGUGCUGAGAAUAAAUGAGGAGCAGACCCGC